UCCGCCAGCUGAUCCGGGACGGAGCCGGCGCGCGGCGGGGGGAGGCGGCGGUACCGGCACCGGGCACGGCCCGGGCGGCACCGGCGGGGCGGCGGCGCUGGUGGCGCUGGGCCAAGUCGGCCCCGGCCGAGCCGCGCAGGUGCUGCCGUGCCACCCUGCUCCUGGCUAACCAGCACCAGUUCUUCAGUGGCAAGCUUUAUGUCCUUCUCCAGUAGCUAAAGCUGCCAGUUGAAGAACUGUUGAAUGUAGCCACUCUCUUCUCGUCACUGGGACCUUGGAUGCCAGCCAGAGCCGUGCCCUGAGCCACCAGGAUGAGCCACUCUGCAGAGCCCUGUGCCUUGGAGGGCUUGAGGAUGAGUGUGACCAGGAUGAUGAAGAAAGUCUCCUCGGAGCCUCCAGCCAGAGCCUUGGCUGGAGGAUUCUGUGCCAGCAGGGUUGCCAAAAUGUGUCCCCCCACCCCUCAGUGGGGUGGCACUGAGCUGGGAGGAGACUGAGAGAAGCAUUAAACAUUAUUUUGCUCAA